GUCCACGCCGUAAACGAUGAGUACUAGGUGUAGGGGUCCAACCCUCUGUGCCGCAGUUAACACAAUAAGUACUCCGCCUGGGAAGUACGAUCGCAAGAUUAAAACUCAAAGGAAUUGACGGGGCCCGCACAAGCAGCGGAGCAUGUGGUUUAAUUCGAAGCAACGCGAAGAACCUUACCUGGACUUGACAUCCCCCUGAAUUACUCGUAAUGGAGGAAGCCCUUCGGGGCAGGGAGACAGGUGGUGCAUGGUUGUCGU
rnacentral:rRNA from 1 species